UUGAUUACGUCCCUGCCCUUUGUACACACCGCCCGUCGCUGCCCGGAACUGAGCAAUGUCGAGAAGACUGGGGAUAUGUUCCUUUUAGGAACGUAAAACCAGUUUAAUCGCUAUUGUUUGAACCGGGCAAAAGUCGUAACAAGGUUUUCGUAGGUGAACCUGCGAAAGGAUCAUUAUGGUUAAAAACAAUUAAGAUGUUUGAAAUGAAAUUGUUGGUUAUUAUAAUAAUAUUAAAUUAUUUUUUAAAAAUAAGCCAACCAUUAUUAUAUAUUAUAUUAUUAUAAAUUAUACGAGUAAAAUCGUGUCGGUGGAUCACUUGGUUCAUGGGUCGAUGAAGAACGCAGCUAAAUGCGAUAAGUAAACCGAAUUGCUAAGCUGAGGUUUAAAUUUUUGAAUGCAUAUUGCGCCUAUCGGUAGCUUGCUACUACUGGCAUGUAUUUUUGAGGGUUGGAACAACAAUUGUAUCUUUUGAUAUUUAUGGGAUAUUUUCAUCCAAAGUAUCCUUAUUGUUCAAUUAACGUUUGGUUAAGACUAACGGCAUCCGCCUGUGUAAAGUUUAAUCAAACAACAUGUUAAUUUCUAUUAUUAUUUUGUUUAGCCUCAAAAAUGUAUGAUUACCCGCUGAACUUAAGCAUAUCGUUAAGCGGAGGAGAAGAAACUAAAUAGGAUUACCUUAGUAACGGCGAGUGAAA
rnacentral:rRNA from 1 species